GGGGGCUAUACCUUGUGAAAAUAAUGUAUUUAAAUGGUAUAGCCGGUCGGCUAUACUACGUUUAAAAAAAAUAUUAAUAAUGUUUUACACGUGGCGCAAGAGGGUUCUCUUUUCCAGAAAAAAAAAAAAAAGAAAGUAGUACGGCCGAACGGCUAUACUCCGUGUUUUGAAAUUUUUUAAAAAUAGACCUCUGUUGACACGUG
rnacentral:lncRNA from 1 species